rnacentral:lncRNA from 1 species
UUAUUGUCUUCUGGUCUUGUAUCCCUCUCAGGUGGGGGGAAAGUAUGUGGAGGGGAGGUGGAUCUGCUGUGUGGACACACCUCUUCCUGCAGGGCGGGGCCAAGUGAGACAGGUAUGAUGCUACAGGAAGUCAGCAGAGGAACGGCCACGCCGUCUCCUCAGCACAGCAACGGGGCCGCUGUCGCCAACGGCAACGACAGAUCCUGCUGACCCUGCAUCUAACUGUGAGGAGGACUCAGUGUCCCACCAGUCAUGUACGCUGAGCCCAGCCAGCCUGACCCACACACCUAGCCCAGGGGUCAAUCACAUCACUGACAAGACACAGGGACUAUUUGGGCCAUCUCCAGAAAGGAGAGCAGGCUACGAAUGUGAAGGAACUCAUCCAAAAUAUCACAGGCAAUCCAGAACAAGGAUACAGAGGACUUCCAACCAAAAAUGUUUUAUCAGAGUCUAUUUCUAUCCCUUCAACCAAUGAGCAGUGACUGGGGGAAGCCACGAGUCACUUUGUUCUCAAACACUGAUACCUGGAAAGAAUUAUCACGGGAUGGACAGAGAGACAGAAAGACUAAAACUCUCUUCCCAGCUUGGUAGUGGACUCUAACCACUGCUGUUAGUCGUAUGAACCUGAGGUUAAGCUUCCAAUGUAGCAGAUACUUUGCCCCCAAUCAAUGGAAUAUGAUACCACAACCUGACAAGGAGACUAGACGCUUAGCAAUUAUUUAAUUUAUAUCAAAAUAAUCAGUCUUCUGAGAGAAAAAUAAAAAAAACAUUCUUUGACAGUGUUUCAUCUUUAUGAGGAAUUGUAUGAUUGUGCAGCUACUGUAUAUGUGUCCUCUAUGAUGUUGUUAUACAUGUAUGUGUGUGUACAUAUACUAGACUAAAACAUGUCUUGGAAUCCAAUAUUUGUCAUUUCUAACCAGAGUGCCAUCUCUGUUUUUGUAAGGUUGUGAAGGUAUGCCCCCUACAUCCAGGGAUGGUACUGAAUGGCGGGGGUGGAGUGGUGCAGUAAAUGGUAUUUACCACAGUAGUCAAG